rnacentral:rRNA from 1 species
UAGGGAAUAUUGCACAAUGGGGGAAACCCUGAUGCAGCAACGCCGCGUGAGUGAAGAAGGCCCUUGGGUUGUAAAGCUCUUUAGCGAGGGAAGAAGCCUUUCAGACCUAAUACGUCUGGGAGAUGACGGUACCUCGAGAAUAAGCACCGGCUAAUUUCGUGCCAGCAGCCGCGGUAAUACGAAAGGUGCAAGCGUUACUCGGAAUCACUGGGCGUAAAGCGCUCGUAGGCGGAUUCGUAUGUCAAUUGUGAAAGCCCAGAGCUCAACUCUGGAAUAGCAGUUGAAACUGCGUUUCUUGAAUACCUGAGAGGGUGGGGGAAUACCUAGUGGAGAAGUGAAAUUCGUAGAGAUUAGGUGGAACACCGGAGGCGAAGGCGCCUGCCUGGCAGUGUAUUGACGC